rnacentral:rRNA from 1 species
UAGGUAACUCUGAUGGCACGCACAAUAGAGGACGACUCAUAGGCAUGCAGCUAUUUUGGUAAAGCAUGGUGACAACCCAGGUAAUAAAUGCCGCUUCCUCGACCGUACCUGACUCUGCAGGAGGGUCAAUACUAAGAAAGGGAGACUGCAUCGACUCACGUGGGUGAUCUCCACGCCUUCAAACGAUGAUGUGCCAAAUGCUAGAGGGGGAAUUUCCAGCUCCUUCAUGUACUGCAAGCUUAACGCCUGUCUAAGCACUCCACUCGCGAGUAGGUCGGCAAGGAGUGAACAUUCAAACGUAAUAACGGGGGCCGGACCAAGCCGUUGACCAUCAUUGUUUUACUAGAAUUUACUCUGUGAUUUUGAUUCUGGCUCAGGACGAACGCUGGCGGCGUGCCUAAUAUCAUGCAAGUCGAGCGGACAGAAGGGAGCUUGCUCCCGGAUGUUAGCGGCGGACGGGUGAGUAACACGUGGGUAACCUGCCUGUAAGACUGGGAUAACUCCGGGAAACCGGAGCUAAUACCGGAUAGUUCCUUGAACCGCAUGGUUCAAGGAUGAAAGACGGUUUCGGCUGUCACUUACAGAUGGACCCGCGGCGCAUUAGCUAGUUGGUGAGGUAACGGCUCACCAAGGCGACGAUGCGUAGCCGACCUGAGAGGGUGAUCGGCCACACUGGGACUGAGACACGGCCCAGACUCCUACGGGAGGCAGCAGUAGGGAAUCUUCACGCAAUGGACGAAAGUCUGACGGAGCAACGCCGCGUGAGUGAUGAAGGUUUUCGGAUCGUAAAGCUCUGUUGUUAGGGAAGAACAAGUGCAAGAGUAACUGCUUGCACCUUGACGGUACCUACCCAGAAAGGCACUGCUAACUACGUGCCAGCAGCCGCGGUAAUACGUAGGUGGCAAGCGUUGUCCGGAAUUAUUGGGCGUAAAGGGCUCGCACGCGGUUUCUUAAGUCUGAUGUGAAAGCCCCCGGCUCAACCGGGGAGGGUCAUUGGGAAACUGGGAAACUUGAGUGCAGAAGAGGAGAGUGGAAUUUCCACGUGUAGCGGUGAAAUGCGUAGAGAUGUGGAGGACACCAGUGGCGAAGGCGACUUCUCCUGGUCUUGUAACUGACGCUGAAGGAGCCGAAGGCGUGGGGAGCGAAACAAGGAUUAGAAUACCUUGGGUAGUCCACGCCGUAAAACGAAUUGAGUUGCUAAGUUGUUAGGGGCUUACCGCUCUUAAGUGCCUGCAGACUAC